CGCCGCGCUGGCUUACCUCUCCGGCUCCCCGGACGAGUCCUCAACAAGUUGGAGGGAGGCAGGAGCGCAGGGGUUAAGCUCGGGGAUCUGCAAUUACCAAGAUCGUGACCCUCCCACACAGUACAGUAACUUAUAUACUUACCUGGAAGCGCCCGCUUUGCCGCUGGGCAGACACCCAUGGGGGAGGGGAGGGGCACGAGGGAAGCGAGUUGGCCAGAGAGGGCCGCUUCCAGACGGCUGAAGCACAAACCGAACCAUUGCACUCCCAAGACUCCCGGACUCAGGUGGUCAAGCCUGUCCUGAUACUGAUGGCGGUGCAUGAAGGGUGACCACCCAAGGGAGGCAGUCUCAGAGGUUAUGAAUGCUGAAAAGCCUGACAGGGAUCUCAAGAGUCCCAGGAACAUAAUUUCUUACAUGAAAAGGAAGUUUGGGAAUUCGGUGGUUCUGCCGGAUCAAGCAACUGAAGGAAUUGUUUGCAGCUGGUGCUGGACUCGAGUCCUACUAUCUAGCUCAAACUGUCCUCGAAUUUUGGAUUGCUGGUGGCCACGGCAGAGGAGCAGCAGGUGUCAUUGAAGUUCAAGGCGUCAGCUCACCAGGAGGCGACUCUCUGGUGGGUGAAUCUUGGAUAGCAAGUCCCUGAGACCACAGGCCUUAGAAUGUGUCUCACUUCUACUGUACCUUUACAUGUUUGCUAUUGCUACCUUUCUCUGGUUUCUGCUAUGGUGUGAACGGAUGUGGGGAGAUUCCCACUGCCUGUAAUAUAGUGUGCUUAUCUCAUGGAAAAAUUCCAUUCUGCUGGGCAUUCUUGCCUGUGGAUUAUUGUGAAGACGAUUCCUUCCUAAGCUGUACUGUCUGAUUGAUAAUAAUAAGUUUUAAGUUAAGAGGGUUGAUGGUUCAAGAAAUAAAUAAGGACGUGUCACACACUAGAAUACAUGAGUUUAGGUUAACAAUUAAGAAAAACAACUGAGUCCUGGUAGACCAGCUAGCUUAAAUUCUUUUAACCUUAAUGUUGGGAGAUGUGUUCACAGGUUUUGGAGUGCUGAAACAAAGAUUUGAAAAUAAGAUUAUACUAGAUGUUCUUGUCAAAUAACUUAGAGGUGAAAAACUCAAGAAGACAAUCUAAAGUUUUAGAAUGACACAAGAGUUGAGUGCAGAACGCAUUAAGGUCAGGGAGCAAGAACAAAGCAGCCAAUUAUCAUUAUUUGACAUGCUUUUCUUGCUAGGAUUGGUUGAUGACCAGAAAUGAUGAUUAAUUUUUUGUAUCCAUUUUUGCUCUUAAUCUCCUGAUAUAAAAAACUAAUGAUGCGUGGGUAUGCACCCUAAAGAUUUAAAGUAGAGCUGACUGAUUUUUUUUAUAUAUAUAAAAGUUUAGGUUUGUGAUUCCUUUAGAUUCUUUAUAAUACUACCUUUAAAGGAAAGCAAUAAAGGAAUAGGUCCUUUCUUUGUAACUACAAAAUGCAGCCUGCCAGUAAAAGGUCUGACUGAGAAGAAUACCUUUUUGCCCACAAAGUUAACUUAUAACUGUGAAUGGGUGUGCUUGGGUAUGAAUGUACAUGGGCUCUUGGGAUAAUUUGUUUUUCACCUGUAAAACAUGAAAUGUUUAAUGAUGUAAGGGAUAUGGAAAACAUGUUGUUUUUUUACUGUUUGUGUUGUGUUCAUUGUAAUCAUUUACAGAAUGUAACCACAUUGGAAUUCCUAUAUUGCCUGAAAAACUUUGUUGGGGUAUAUAAGCUGUAGAAAAAAGUAUACAAUAGAAAGAACACAGAAGAAUAAGGAAUAAAGAAGGAAACCAUCAAAAAAGAAUGUGAGUGUCUUUUUCUCUAACCCUCUCAGAUAAAAAAAGUCUUAGUAUGUGCUGACUCCGUGGAUUGCCUUUGAGGCCUGUGCUCCUGGAAGCUGGCAGCCCAGGUGCAACACUGUUGCAACCUCCCAAUGCUGAGCAAACAUUACUGUGCUCUUUUAUAACUACUUUGUAUUUUGUGUAGUCUUUUUGUAUACAUCAAAUAUAUUUACCAAGAAAAUAAAGAGGAAAAGAACAGAUGUAGGCAAUAACAAUAGAAAUCAAAUUAACAAGAUUCCUUGGGAGAGGAAAAUCCAUGGAUAAUAUUAGUAAAUGCUGAGUCCAUUACAAACAUAAGCAUACAGAUAAAGAAAAUGCAUGAAGGCAUUCCUCUGUAUUCUUUCCUUUGUGUUUGCUUGUGGAAGUGUACUAAUAUUUGCAGGUUUCUUUCUGGUAGCAGACAUUGAUAAAACAUCCCAAUUAUCUUUCCCUUUACCUAGUUGGAGCUGGCUUCACUAUGGCUCUGAUUGUUUUUUAAAGGUGAAAGUACCCUGGAUAAGAUAGCUGGAGUGAUUACUCGGUCAGGGGAUACAAUGAACUAAAGCAGUUACUGGGGCAAGGCUAAUGUGUUAGCCACCAACCCCUGAAGGUACUAAAUGGCUUGGCACACUUCUCUGGUAUUUAUAAGUCUGUGUGAGCCUUUGAAUUGAAAUGUAAGGGAGCACUGAAGCUGUACUUUUACUUAUUGAUUGCUCUCAUGCGUGUUGGGUGUGCAUGUGUGUCCUGUGGCAUGUUUGUGUAGGUCAGAGGGCUGCCUG